rnacentral:rRNA from 1 species
GUCACUGCUAUCAGUGUUCGACUAAGCCAUGCAAGUCAAAUGUUCUUCGUGAACAUGGCGGACUGCUCAGUAACACGUGGAUAACCUGCCCUUAGGAUUGGCAUAACACCGUGAAACUGGUGAUAAUACCGAAUAGACCAUUUAUGCUGGAAUGCUUUUUGGUUCAAAGGCUUCGGCUGCCUAAGGAUGGAUCUGCGGCCUAUCAGGUAGUAGUGGGUGUAAUGUACCUACUAGCCUACGACGGGUACGGGUUGUGAGAGCAAGAGCCCGGAGAUGGAUUCUGAGACAUGAAUCCAGGCCCUACGGGGCGCAGCAGGCGCGAAAACUUUACAAUGCGGGAAACCGCGAUAAGGGGACACUGAGUGCCAGCAUAUUAUGUUGGCUGUCCACAUGUAUAAAAACCAUGUGUUAGCAAGGGCCGGGCAAGACCGGUGCCAGCCGCCGCGGUAACACCGGCGGCCCGAGUGGUGAUCACUUUUAUUGGGUCUAAAGGGUCCGUAGCCGGUUUGAUCAGUCCUCCGGGAAAUCUGACAGCUCAACUGUUAGGCUUCCGGGGGAUACUGUCAGACUUGGGACCGGGAGAGGUAAGAGGUACUACAGGGGUAGGAGUGAAAUCUUGUAAUCCCUGUGGGACCACCAGUGGCGAGGGCGUCUUACCAGAACGGGUCCGACGGUGAGGGACGAAAGCUGGGGGCACGAACCGGAUUAGAUACCCGGGUAGUCCCAGCCGUAAACGAUGCUCGCUAGGUGUCAGGGACGGUGCGACCGUUUCUGGUGCCGCAGGGAAGCCGUGAAGCGAGCCACCUGGGAAGUACGGCCGCAAGGCUGAAACUUAAAGGAAUUGGCGGGGGAGCACUACAACGGGUGGAGCCUGCGGUUUAAUUGGAUUCAACGCCGGA